UACGUAGGGCGCGAGCGUUGUCCGGAAUCAUUGGGCGUAAAGAGCGCGCAGGCGGCUUGGCAAGUCGGAUGUGAAAGCCCCGGGCUCAACCUGGGAAUUGCAUUCGAGACUGAAUAGCUAGGGUGCGGUAGAGGGAAGCGGAAUUUCCGGUGUAGCGGUGAAAUGCGUAGAUAUCGGAAGGAACAUCAGUGGCGAAAGCGGCUUCCUGGACCAGCACCGACGUUCAGGCACGAAAGCGUGGGGAGCAAACAGG
rnacentral:rRNA from 1 species